GUUUGCAGAAUUCAUAUUCAGUAUUAAUGUCAUUAUUUAUUUUCAACAGAACAGAUCUGUUUUAUAAGCACAGAUGUUUCUGUUUACGAAUCAAUAAGAUUAUAAUUACUAUAAUAUACCACUAGUGAUCCUAUAAAAGGCCUAUAUUUUGCCAAUUUCAGUAUCAGUUGCAUAAGUGAAGAAGUAGAAGCGCGUCCCAAAAUGUUGUUUUUGAAGUUUAUUUUCUGUACUCUUCUGGUUUGUUUAAUUGCGAUAAACACAACAACGGCUCGGAGACAGAGACAAUUAAGACCAGAUAUUCAAGCUUUAGUAAAUGCUAUUACACAGAAGAAGUUGCAGGAUAUCGCCGCUAAAAAUAGUGUCACUUUACCUCCUAGCACCACGGAGGCAACAAGUAGCACCGCGGCAGAAUCAAGUUCAACUGCCACAUCUA